UAUGUAUCUACUCAUAUAAGACCAGACAAUUGCUCCGUCGCUUUCGAGGAGUUACUCUAGCGUUGGGAGACCGUCGCCUUCGUCGUCCGGUGCAUGAGCAAUGUCCCGGAGAACACCGUCUAUGGCGGUCCCAAGCCGCAGAGUCCGAACCAGAGGGUGACGCUGAUUAACCUCCGGCUGAAACAUCGGAGAGGAGAGCCGAUUACCGUCGACAACGCCGGCAUUGAUGUCUGCAUCGUUGGCGACUCGGCUUUCGGUGGUCGUCCAUGGUCACGACACCACGCUUCCUAUCUCCCGCGACGAGAUGCUCGUCCACUGCGGCGGCGGCAUGCGGCCUCUGCUCGUCGGCCUAUGAGUCCCAACACCCGUCAGGUUGUGGGCAAAACAUCAAUUGGCUUGAAGAGGUUUCGGUAUAAAUGAUGAUCAGGCGGUAGAUACUGCAGUCAGGGUAUUGAAGGAAGGAAGGAGUGAAUGCCAUUAAACUUGAAGGAGGAUAACCUUCUAGGAUCACCGCAGCAAAAGACAUAGUUGAACCAGGAACUGCUGUUACGGGUCAUGUUGACCCCUCAGGCCAUUAGCGUUCUUGGUCGAUUCAGGCCGCAGGGGCAAAGCAUAGUGACCGCUGUUAAGAUUGUGGAGACUGCCACGGCUUUGCAGCCACCUCUGCUCUUGCACAUUCCAACAACCAUUGGCAUCGGGCCGGCCUUUUAUGCGGUGGGCAUUUUUUCUUUUUUGCAUUCUCUUUUUAAGUUUAUCAGAUGGUACUAUCACCCUAAUUCUGGAAUACAUAAAUCUAUCUCAAACUCGAGCCUCUCGUGAUCAAAUGAUGACAUUACGACACACGAAUAUGGAGAUUUAACUUCGAUAACCAAAAUCCGAAAUCGUCACCCUAGAUUUAUGCAUGUAAUGUGGAUUUUCUGAUUUUCUGUAGUAAUUAAAAGAACGACCAAUGAGAUCACGAAAUAUGUGUGAUAAGAGAAAAGCCCUUGAAAUUAGUUGGGGCAAUUUGUUG